AGGACGAACGCUGGCGGCGUGCUUAACACAUGCAAGUCGAGCGGAAAGGCCACUUCGGUGGUACUCGAGCGGCGAACGGGUGAGUAACACGUGAGUAAUCUGCCCUUGGCUUUGGGAUAGCCACCGGAAACGGUGAUUAAUACCGGAUACGACAACUUCUCGCAUGGGAUGGUUGUGGAAAGUUUUUCGGCCAGGGAUGUGCUCGCGGCCUAUCAGCUUGAUGGUGAGGUAAUGGCUCACCAUGGCUUCGACGGGUAGCCGGCCUGAGAGGGUGACCGGCCACACUGGGACUGAGACACGGCCCAGACUCCUACGGGAGGCAGCAGUGGGGAAUAUUGGACAAUGGGCGGAAGCCUGAUCCAGCAACGCCGCGUGAGGGAUGACGGCCUUCGGGUUGUAAACCUCUUUCAGCAGGGACGAAGCGCAAGUGACGGUACCUGCAGAAGAAGCACCGGCCAACUACGUGCCAGCAGCCGC
rnacentral:rRNA from 1 species